rnacentral:rRNA from 1 species
CCUACGGGAGGCAGCAGUGGGGGAUAUUGGACAAUGGGGGGAACCCUGAUCCAGCGACGCCGCGUGAGUGAAGAAGUAUUUCGGUAUGUAAAGCUCUGUCAGCAGGGAAGAAAGAAAUGACGGUACCUGACCAAGAAGCCCCGGCUAACUACGUGCCAGCAGCCGCGGUAAUACGUAGGGGGCAAGCGUUAUCCGGAAUUACUGGGUGUAAAGGGAGCGUAGACGGUUAAGUAAGUCUGGAGUGAAAGGCCGGGGCUCAACCCCGGGACUGCUCUGGAAACUAUUUAACUUGAGAGCAGGAGAGGUAAGCGGAAUUCCUAGUGUAGCGGUGAAAUGCGUAGAUAUUAGGAGGAACACCAGUGGCGAAGGCGGCUUACUGGACUGUAACUGACGUUGAGGCUCGAAAGCGUGGGGAGCAAACAGGAUUAGAUACCCGAGUAGUC